rnacentral:rRNA from 1 species
AACGAACGCUGGCGGCAGGCCUAACACAUGCAAGUCGAACGAGAAGCCACCUUCGGGUGGUGGAUAGUGGCAGACGGGUGAGUAACGCGUGGGAACGUGCCUUUCGGUUCGGGAUAACCCAGGGAAACUUGGGCUAAUACCGGAUACGCCCUCCGGGGGAAAGAUUCAUUGCCGAAAGAUCGGCCCGCGUCGGAUUAGCUAGUUGGUGGGGUAAAAGCCUACCAAGGCGACGUUCCGUAGCUGGUCUGAGAGGAUGACCAGCCACACUGGGACUGAGACACGGCCCAGACUCCUACGGGAGGCAGCAGUGGGGAAUAUUGGACAAUGGGCGCAAGCCUGAUCCAGCCAUGCCGCGUGGGUGAAGAAGGCCCUAGGGUUGUAAACCCCUUUCAGCGGGGAAGAUAAUGACGGUACCCGCAGAAGAAGCCCCGGCUAACUCCGUGCCAGCCGCCGCAGUAAUAC